rnacentral:ncRNA from 2 species
GCGCGCUGGCGGGGUCGGUGAAAUUCCGAGCCGGCGGUGAGAGCCCGCGACCCGUCCACAGCCGGUGGACGGUUGACUUCGGUGAAAUUCCGAGGCCGACGGUUAAAGUCCGGAUGGUAGUUAGCGCGC